GAUGAACGCUGGCGGCGUGCCUAAUACAUGCAAGUUGUACGGAAAGGCCCUUCGGGGUACUCGAGUGGCGGACGGCUGAGUAACGCGUGGGAACGUGCCCCAAAGUGAGGGAUAACGCACCGAAAGGUGUGCUAAUACCGCAUAUGGUCUUCGGAUUAAAGCUUCGGCGCUUUGGGAGCGGCCCGCGUACGAUUAGAUAGUUGGUGAGGUAAUGGCUCACCAAGUCGACGAUCGUUAGCUGGUCUGAGAGGAUGAUCAGCCAGACUGGGACUGAGACACGGCCCAGACUCCUACGGGAGGCAGCAGUAAGGAAUCUUCCACAAUGGGGGCAACCCUGAUGGAGCAACGCCGCGUGCAGGAUGAAGGUUUUCGGAUCGUAAACUGCUUUUAUAAGUGAAGAAUAUGACGGUAACUUAUGAAUAAGGAUCGGCUAACUACGUGCCAGCCGCCGCCGCAA
rnacentral:rRNA from 1 species